AACGAACGCUGGCGGCAGGCCUAACACAUGCAAGUCGAACGCCCUGCAAGGGGAGUGGCGCACGGGUGAGUAACGCGUGGGAAUAUGCCCUUCGGUUCGGAAUAACACAGGGAAACUUGUGCUAAUACCGGAUACGAUCUACGGAUGAAAGAUUUAUCGCCGAGGGAGUAGCCCGCGUAGGAUUAGCUAGUUGGUGAGGUAAUGGCUCACCAAGGCGACGAUCCUUAGCUGGUCUGAGAGGAUGAUCAGCCAUACUGGGACUGAGACACGGCCCAGACUCCUACGGGAGGCAGCAGUGGGGAAUAUUGGACAAUGGGCGAAAGCCUGAUCCAGCCAUGCCGCGUGAGUGAUGAAGGCCUUAGGGUUGUAAAGCUCUUUCGCCAGGGAAGAUAAUGACGGUACCUGGAAAAGAAGCCUCGGCUAACUCCGUGCCAGCCGCCGCUGUAA
rnacentral:rRNA from 1 species